AAAAAAAUUCCCUCCUACCAACCAUCAUAAAUUCUUUCAUGGUCAAAGAGGAGAUUCUUAGGGGAAUGAACAGGCCCUAAGUGGAGAAUUGAGCAUAAUAGUUAUAUUUUCAAUCACUUUUUAUGUUUGAGGCUAGUCUGUGAGCGAGUCUUGGUUAAGGCUGCAAGGAAGGCAUAAUGACUUUGGUAACCCUUUCAAGGACAUAACUGUAGUCAAGAGUUGAAGACAACAUUAUUCAUGCAGCUGAUGUUUAAUUUGCAGUAACAAAUGCUGGAAUUCUUGAUUUCCUGAAAAUUCAGAAUUUAUAUGUUUUAUGUUCUUGAUGUAAUGGCAUAAAAGUGCCAACUUAAACACUUGGCAACUGUUUU
rnacentral:misc_RNA from 1 species